UACGUAGGUGGCAAGCGUUGUCCGGAUUUACUGGGCGUAAAGGAUGCGUAGGUGGAUAUUUAAGUGGGAUGUGAAAUACCCGGGCUCAACUUGGGUGCCGCAUUCCAAACUGGAUAUCUAGAGUGCAGGAGAGGUAAGUGGAAUUCCUAGUGUAGCGGUGAAAUGCGUAGAGAUUAGGAAGAACACCAGUGGCGAAGGCGACUUACUGGACUGUAACUGACACUGAGGCAUGAAAGCGUGGGGAGCAGACAGG
rnacentral:rRNA from 1 species